rnacentral:rRNA from 1 species
GUAGGUGGCAAGCGUUGUCCGGAAUUAUUGGGCGUAAAGCGCGCGCAGGCGGUCCUUUAAGUCUGAUGUGAAAGCCCACGGCUCAACCGUGGAGGGUCAUUGGAAACUGGGGGACUUGAGUACAGAAGAGGAAAGCGGAAUUCCAAGUGUAGCGGUGAAAUGCGUAGAGAUUUGGAGGAACACCAGUGGCGAAGGCGGCUUUCUGGUCUGUAACUGACGCUGAGGCGCGAAAGCGUGGGGAGCAAACAGGAUUAGAUACCCUGGUAGUCCACGCCGUAAACGAUGAGUGCUAAGUGUUAGGGGGUCUCCGCCCCUUAGUGCUGCAGCUAACGCAUUAAGCACUCCGCCUGGGGAGUACGCCGCAAGGCUG